UACCUGCAGAUGUACAUCUGUGUAGAUAUUGAUCUAAACCGAUCCGCACCCCAUGUCCAAGUGCAACUGUAUAGAGUCCUUAUCGACGACAUUUUGAAAAAGAUAAGCCAUUCUGCCCUCCACCCCCUCUGACUUUUUGCCCAUCCUUGGUCUCCAGUUAAUUUGCUUAGUGGGAAGUGAACACAAGGGAUUGAUUAGAGCAUCAGGGACUACGCUGUGAGGUCUGAAGCACCGAUUUCCGUAGGAGUUCCAUCCUAAGCAUCGGUCGGGUGUUUGACAAGCAAGGAUCUAGUGAUACUGAAGAGGAGCCUGAACAACCCCGAAGAAAACCCCUGCUUCCUUUACCUGGCCUGUGACCCUAAUGGAGGUGAAGAAAUUGCUUCCGUGGGCAUUUUAAGUUCCGCAAGAAACAUGGAAGUGUACCUAGGAGAGGAGUACUGUGGGACCAGCAGGGGCAGGCGUGCUUGCACGGUCCUGGAGCCCAGUGAUCCGGAGAAGAUUAUUUUGUACAAAAAAUAUUUACAGUUGGAACCCCCCACACUUGCCUGCAAAGUAAAGCUUCUCUCUUUUGGCGAAAAGCACUGUGUGUCCCUCAGUAAAGUUGUGGUACACAUGAGGCCGGUGCCAACAAGCACUCCGACGGGCGGCCCCUCCCUGGGAGCGAGGAUCAACCUGGACAGGGUUCAGAGCAUCGUGGAGUCUGUGGGCUCAAAGUUAUCGCCUGGAGCACAACAGCUGAUGGCUAUGGUUCGGUUUCAGCAGCAGGUAUGUGCAAAGGGAUUUCUCACUAGGUGUCCUCACAAAAUUAUCAAAACAAACUGCUUUUAAUAAAAAGUAUAGAGACGUAGAAGUUUGUCUUUGGAUUUUUAGUUAGCGAUUUACUUGUUGUUGGCGUUCACUGGACACCUUAGCAUAGCUGGCUUUCUCUUGUUAGAUUCCAGCUUCCUGGGGACCUUGCCCAGCUCCCCCAUUUACUCACCUUUCCCUCCAAACCCUGAUGACCUUCAAGUCCCUUUUUAAACCAUCUGUCACAAACCAUCUGUCCCGCAGUAAACGUGGGAUGCGGUCUAAUAGCAAUCAAGAGUACCUCUGUUCAUAUGGGCUGGAUUUCCUGAUAAGAGCCCAGCGUACAGCCCUGUUUGGAAUGUAGGAGGGAGCCACGUUCAGAAAUCCCUAUUGGGCAGCUCUACUCCGACCUGCAGGGUCCCCACGCACAGGACGCGACCUGAUAGCACAGGUGUGGGCUGAGUUCACGGGAGAGUAUGC